AAAAACCUAAUCCACACAUUAUUCAAUGCAUGCAUGGCCCCUUGCCAAUUGCCAUUGUAUGGUUAUAAAGUUUCUUGCAUAGCUCCCCAUAAACCAAACAUAUUUCAGCUCAUCAUCUAUAAGAGACUUGGUUUCCAUUGAAUUUCUAUGUGUCUCUGUGUUCAGUGCUAUUUCACCUCGUCAAAUUUUAUAUCACCUUUUAAGUUGGAUUAUCAUCUUUCUCGAACAAGAAGGAGAUUACAACUACAUAGAUUAAAUGAUAUCAAUGGCUCAUGAUCAAGGUAAAAAGCAGUUGUUUCAAGGCUCGUGUGGAGAGCAAUCAAGGUUUUCGAGAAAUNNNNNNN
rnacentral:lncRNA from 1 species